AUGGUCCAAAUACCGUCCCUGAUCCACAGCGGAGAUGGUAGUCUGAGUAGCAUGCCCUACAUACCAGUAGACGUCACGAACCUAAAGGCAAAGUAGCACAGAGAGAGCAGGUUGGCUGACAUACAAGACACAAUAGGUUACUUCGAAGAGAAAGCAAAAGAAGAUGUUGAUUUCUUAUAUAGCAUAAUAUUGGACGAUGAGGACCGUGUCACAAACAUGUAUUGGGUGGACGGUGCUGCAAGAAGAGCCUACAAACAUUUCUGUGAUUGGAUUUUGUUCGAUGCGACAUAUCUCACGAAUAUGUACAAGAUGCCCUGCGCUCCAUUCUUAGGAAUAAAUAACCACAAUCAGUUGUAG
rnacentral:rRNA from 1 species